rnacentral:ncRNA from 1 species
AAACUUGAGAGUUUGAUCCUGGCUCAGAACGAACGCUGGCGGCAGGCUUAACACAUGCAAGUCGAACGCCCCGCAAGGGGAGUGGCAGACGGGUGAGUAACGCGUGGGAAUCUACCCAGAACUUCGGAACAACUGAGGGAAACUUCAGCUAAUACCGGAUACGCCCUACGGGGGAAAGAUUUAUCGGUUCUGGAUGAGCCCGCGUUGGAUUAGCUAGUUGGUGGGGUAAUGGCCUACCAAGGCGACGAUCCAUAGC